CAACUUCCAUCAACUGACGAAUGGAUAGACAAAUGUGGCAUAUCCAUAUCCAUACAGUGAAAUAUUUACCCCCAUUCCCUUGACCCACAAUACUCCCUAAUGUGAGCGUUUCAGAUUAAAAAAAAAAAGUUCUAAAUAUUCGAUAUGAUUCCUCCACUUGAAAGUCAAAGCUCCCACAAGAAUGCAUUAGCCUUCCUCUCCAUUGCCUGCUAAUGUGGAAAGACAGUGGGCUUGGCAACUGUCACACAAGUCAAGACCCUGGUUGGACCACUGUAAUUGUUAGCUAUGACUGCAUAAAAGCCACCUCAAAACUCAGUGGCUUAAAACAGGAAGCCCCAGGAGUCCUUUGCAAGAACAGUUUCUAGAAAGAUGAGGCAGGAGACAGAUUGCAGGCAGUGAAGAAUGAGUGGUGGUGAGGGCUUGUAGGCAGUGAGGUCUGCGGUGAAGGAAGGGAGAGAACAGUAGCUGGACAGGCAAGGAAAACUGAGAAAAGGAUGUGGUUGGUUGUCGCUGUUGAUUUAGUAAACUAGGAAAGACUGUGGCAUUAAGACUCAGGGCAUGACGCUGAUCUCGAGGAAGGAAUGGAAGCUGUAGGAGAAGGUAUAAACAGUGUAGCAAUGUUCCACAGAACAUGGAAAGAAUGAGAACUGAGUGCACAACUGGAGGACUUAGCCUUAGAAACCAGAAGAGGUAUGUCUUCGUCUUGAGACAAAAGUGUUAGGGAGAAAGAGUCACCGUUACUACCAAAGAUGUGAAAGUUCCCUAGUAAAGACGGGACCCAAGGAGCAGUGUCAGGAAGCUUCCAUUGGAACACUUGCUCUGGCUGAAAAAAAACCACCACGUAAGAAUUUUGCCAUCCCAAAGGCUGCCAUGCUGGAGUAUCACCUGAAUGUCGCUGAGCUCCUCGCCGACAGCCAGCAUCAGCUGCCAUCUGUGUAAGCGGGCCAUCUUGGUCUCGUAUCUGGUUCAACCUGGUCGAGCUUUCAAAUGACUGCAGCUGCAGCCAACACCUAACUUCGACCUUAUGAGAGACCCCAAGUAAGAACUGCCUAGCUCAGCCUUUUCUGAAGUUCUGACCCACAAAAUAGGUAGAGAUGGUUGUUGCUUUACAAUGAGUUUUAGGGUAAUUUGUUACACAGCAACCAGAAUCAGAACAGCCUCACAACAGCACUGAGCAGCAGAGCUAGGAUUCAAAUGCAAGCUUGUGUAUCUUGGAUGCCAGCACUUGACCACUUCAUUCUCCUGGAUGUUCCUCUUUAUAUAUCCCCACAUCCAGCAUAGUUUCUCCCACAGAGCAUAUGCUGAACAAAUAUUUCACCUACCUUUUAGAUAGAUGCCUUCUCAUCUCUGUUUUCUCUUCCACUUCCCAGCAAAUCGACAUGACCUACUGUGUCAUUGUCCAACAUUGCUAAAACAUAGCAAUGGUUAUUAAAACUUUUAUCACCUUAUUGCCAAGUAAAUCUUCAAUACAGUCAACCAAUCACAUCCUGUUACUUUUAGGCUUUGGCAAGUCAAAAAGCCUUCAUUUUCUAGGCUUUGAGAGAAAGAUUAUGUCUUCCUUUUAUACAUAUUAAUCAGAAAUUAUCAGAGUCUUCAUAUUUCUCAUCUGGAUUUUUGCUAGGCAUAGUAAACUUAAGGAGGACAAAAACGCAAUAGACACUGGGCAUAAAUGACCUAUUAUGACUGAGGGUUCAUGAGUUAAAUAGAGUUGAAAGUUUAAACUUGUACAGAACCUAGCUCUUAAACUCUUUAGUGCUUCCUUUUCAGUAUUACCACCUCUUUAAACAAUAAGGCGGGUUUUUUUAAAUGAUCUAUCCAUCUUAAAAACACCUGUAUCAGCAGACGGCAGAACAUACUAGAAAUCAUGCAGCAAAUUAAAUGUCAAGCAGGAAUGAGUCAAUGUGCUCUGUGUUUCAUUAGCACCAUCCAGUGAAGUCACAAAUCCUGCCUGAGUUGAAAUCUAAGCCACACCAAGAUCAUGAAGCCUGUGCUCAGAUCUGUUUUCCUCUUGAAUUCUAACGGGCUGAGUUGCUACUACUGAACUUAGAAACAGGCUAUUCUUGAGUCAACAAUGCCGUUGUAAAUGUCAUUCAAUGAGUACCUGUCUCUGUUUAUGGGCAGCUUGUCUUCAUAUCAAAAGAGAGCAGAAUCUUAUUGCUCAAACACCCCACCCUCCUCAUUACGAUUUCAUUACUAGAUUCUUCUCUAAUAUUCCUGAAUAAUACCCCUAAUCUUGACAUGAGCGAUGGACCCAAUCUUCACAGAGGACACCUUUCACAUCACCCAAGGUGGUCAUUCUCAGUGGGAGCCUUGCCUGAGGAGUGAUGCUGUUUUCUUUCAUUCAUUAACUACUCCAGAAGUCAGGGUCUGGAGCCCAACACGAGCCACCUGAGACCCAGGCAGUGGCUUUACAGUGUCAGCAGCAGCGCCCGGCUCCUCCUCACCACAUUCCCAAUUCCUACUGUUUCUCUUUUUUCUUCUUCUCCAAUUUGUUCCUGCUUCCCUGUGCCUCCUAAGAUAACAGAAGGUUUGCAAACAGGCUGUUAGAGUAGUGAGGUAUUAUUGUGAAAUAGCAAACAUAUGUCUUUGGAUAACCGUAAGCAGAAUAAGUCUCAGGGAUCCGUGACACACUAUUGCGAGUCUCAUAUUUCACUAUAUGUUUAUUACUUCACCACCUGAAGAUCUGGGGACAGAAUAUCACAAAUAAUGUGAAUGCUUGAGGUUAGUUCUGAUUUAUCUAUUUUAUUUAUCAUAAAGUUAGUCUUGUUUUGCUUCUAAUUCUGCAAAGAUGUCCUUGGGUCCUGAAUAUUGGAUUUCCUAUUUUAUUUCAGGAAUUCUAGGUUUUAGGUAGAAUAGGAUGGUGGCUAAGGAUCUGGAGUCAUGCUGAGGUUUGAAUCCUGCUCUGCCCUCACUGGCUGUUCCUUGGGCAGACUCCUUAAGGCAGAUAACUGCUUAUCUAUCCUGAUUCUUCUUCAAUAAAUUGGAAGUACCAAAAGAGCACCAACUUUGCUCACUGCUGUAUCCCUGGUACCUAGGACAUUGCCUGGAACGUAAUGGGCACAUAAUAAAAUUUACUGAAUAAGUAAAUGUAUGUAUGAAUAUAUGAAUGUAUGAAUAAUGCUUACCAUAUGAAUUCCUUUCCUUCACUCAGUUAUUCACUAUGGCAGAAGAUAUCCUGCUCAUCUUUCUGUUUCCCACAGCACCUAACCCAGGGUUUUGGAUUGAAGUAUCCAUCAAUAUUUUUGAACUUGAGUACAUUUGAACUGAAACACAUCACUGCAUAAUUCAAGCAUCUUCUAUUCCUUCCUGGUGGACAGCACAUUACAGGGAAUCAAGAGAAAAGGAUGGCAUGGCAGAGUGACAUCAACUCUCUCUUCUUGCCUCUGGCUCUUUUCUCCUUGGGCUUUGCCCCUGCAGGGGUAAUACCUAGAUGUUUUUUUCCUGACUACCCCGCUUAGCCUUCAGAGUCAAUAAAACUGAUCCCUAGAUGAUGAACAUCUUUCAUAACAAAUCAGGCACUAGUCUCAGGUUCUAAUCCUGAUUCCUCUGUAACCAACCUGUAUAACUCAGCAAGUCACAUCACCUUAUAGAGCGGUGCUGGGCUUCACUCCCUGUAAGGAGGAAUCCUGCCUCACAGGGUCAUUGUGGGACACAUGAAUGUGCAAGAACUGUGAAAAGGAUGACGUGGGUAGCAAUGCUCAUUUUUUUUAAUUAAGACAUGAAACUAGAGACUCGUUUUUCUAUGAGACGUAGGGCAUAAUACUCAAGCCAUUACAAGCCAGUCAGUCUUUUGUAAGAUCGUGCCACACAGACCUCAAUAGAGAUACUUCUAGUACUAUCACACAAUUUAAAAAUCAUGGUUUCUUUAGGAUAUGUUCCCUUAAUCACUCCACAAAUAUAUAUGGAGCACUUUCAUUGUGUCAAGCACUGUUUUAAUUACGGAGGAAAAGUUAGGAAGGAAAACCCCUGACUGUGUGGGUUUACAUUCUAGUGGGAGAGCAAGAUAUGUAAAGAGAUAAUUACCUCUGAGUGAUAAAAACAAUGAGAGAAGAAUGCUCAGGAUGUCUGUACUAUAGUAGCCUAGAGAAAGGGCUCCCUCGUGGAGUUGGGGAGAUGGUGUCAGUGUUGGAGAUUAGGAAGUAAUAACUGAGAUGCGUCUUAAAGAAUAAGCCAACACUCAGCAAACAUUGAGUAAAUGAAUGGUACUUGUGGCAUUCUACUUGGUAGUGAAGAUGGCAGAGCCCAGAAAGGGAAUGAGGAAAGGAGGGAGACAGUUCAUAGAGGAAUUACCAACAUUCAAUUUUGAGGAUGCCAAAUAGGAGGCUGAAGGGGAGAAAAACUGGCAGAAUCGAGUAAGAGGUCUUCGGGUCUUGGGAGACUAGAUUUGCUUUGUGAGGAGCUCAGACAUUAUCCUGCUGGAGACGGGGAGUAAUGGAAGAAAAGGACUGACCUGGGCAUACCUUAGAUUAGAUGGGUCACUCUGGUUGACACUUCUUCCUUGAAAUUAUUGAAAUGACAACAUUGAGAUAUACAAGUUCGUGCGCCAUUCUCAGCCCACUCUCCUUGUUUCUCUGGGCGUGAGGACCCAAAGUUAGUCCACACCGGGGAGUUCUGUUUUAAUCUUGGUAUGUUUUCUGUAUGGAACGUGGAUGGGGCUUUUUUUUCCUAUGAUUUUUACUAUCAGCCUUUCUCCCAGGGUUACUUUCAUGCUGCAAAAGUAGACCUGCUGAGUCUGUCACAGCCACGGCUAUUCAACUCCAUGCAAGAUACAUUUGCCUGAGCAAAAUACAUUUGGUGCAAGGUGCAAAGUGUCUCGCUAGAUAUUGAGAGGACCAGAAAAAUAAUGUCAGUCCCAACCUAGUACUCUAGGGAGAUUCAUAAUGAAGAGUGGUAACUACAUCGUUGACUUUCACAAAAGGUGAACUUUAACGAAUAUGUCAUUUGCUAAGAGAAAUUCACCCACCCCUCACCACUGCCUGCACUCCAUAUUCACUGGUCAUAUUCUACGAUGCCUCUACUUUGUCAUACCAAUUUAUGAUUUAUGAAGCGCUUUACUCAUCAUUUCAUUUGAUCAUCAUAUGAAUCCUGUGAAAUACUAAAUCUAGUAUUACCAACCCCAUUUGACAAAUCAGUAAAGUGAGGCAUUCAGUGACCAAACCAGCACAAAAAGCCAGUGUUUUUACAAAAUACACAGAGCUCAGACUAGCUCUCCCUGGCCUACCAAAGAGAGUGCAAGACUUUCCUUUAGGAUUGCUUAAUGUCCUCUUAAAGUGCACAAGAAAUGCAGAUUGCUUGUCCAGUAAUGAAUCCAAUUUCAGAAGCCGUCCAGGAAAAUGCCAACUUGUCUUUAGCAAUGUUUUUGGCUUUUAGAAGCAGGUAUGCCCUAAAACGCACUCGAUAAUCCGGACACAGCAUGCAGUCUUGUGGGCACGGGAACUUUAGUGCUGUCAUGCUUCCCACAAAAUAGAACCAGGAAAAUUCUCAGAACCAAGGCAUCUCUCUCCCCUCCCCAUCCUUCUCCUCCUCUUGCCCCUCCUCCUCUUCUUUCUUCUCUUUCUCUCUCCUGUUCUCUUGUUUCCUCUGCUGAGUCAUAACUCUGGGCCCUCAUAACUUAGCUUGUACAUGGCUUAAUUUGCUUUCAAUUCAGCCCUGACUCUAUAUAAUUUCAAAAGUCCAAUGCUCACUACCAACUCAUCUUGCUUUCUGAGUAUAUUAGUUCAAAAUCUCAAGAGAAUUUAAUUGGCCCAAGUCAUCUCCUAUGAAUAAAGUACUCUUGGGUCAAAUGAUCAUCCAUGGGUCAAUCACCUGUGGCUAGAAAGUACUGACUCCCACAGUAUAAAAAUGGGGCUACCUAGGCUAGGUUUUGUUUUGCUUUG